rnacentral:lncRNA from 1 species
GUCUGAUGUCAUCGGUUACCUCAGCUCUAACGUUCCCCCCAAGAACUCCACGCUCCACACAAACUAUUUUGUAUCAUCAUGGAUAUUUUUUAGGAGGAAUCUGGACGAAACACCUUCAGGAACAGCGUUCACCACCAUGUGUGGUCACUUGUUCCAGCAGAGAGUUACAGCCAUGGUUAAAAACCACACCUCGUUUUACUUUGAUUUGUAAAUUCUAAAGCCAUUUUGGGUGUGCCAGCAGGCAACAUUAAAAUGUCAUCUUUUACGCAAAUGGGCAGCAGCCCUUUGGUGUAAAAAAUGAGCAGAUCUGCUCUGUUUAAUCCACAAGGGCUUGAAGGACAAGAGGAACCUGCCUGUUGGACAAUGCUCUCAUCUGGGAGAGCAUCUCAGAUUUAGGGCUGCCUUGAUUUUCUUGUGCAGCCCCUGAUCAGGCUUCAUCGCUCCCUCCCCUGGCUGGUGGGAACUCAACGGGGAGUUCACUCAUGCCAGCAGAUGAGGACUGUCUGGCCACUGACUGUCUGUGGAAAAGGGACCAGGAUGCUGGUGGGUACUGGUUACCCCAACAUCACAGGAGACCUUGCAGCGAAGGUGACUGGUGGUGGGUCUUUGGGGGUGCUGGGGCACCAGGCUGUGCUGGCCAGUGGUUCCCCUCCAGAUGGGCACUGGUGAGACUAUGUCUGGGCACUGGGUCCCCAUAUGGGUCUCCCAGUAGAAUGGACAGUGACAGACUGGAGGUGCUGGAGCCUGGGCUGUGUGGGUUUUAUUACCAAGCUGUCCACUUUGACUCAUACCUCAACUACGUGCAUUUAAUCCACACCUCCUCCAUCAUCAAAUCUGCUCUGCCCAUGGCCAUAAUUUUUGACCUCUUUGCCAUGAUCUGCAGCCCCCGAAGCCUGCAUCCCUCCUGGCAAACUCUGUGGCACUAAAACUGGUGUGGGGUUAACCAUCCAGGCAGCACUUCUGGUGUUCCUGACUGCCUUUCCUCUGAAGAUACUGCCAUAUCACUGGGUAAACGGUCUCUCACAGUAUUUCUUGUCUACUCCAGGAUAUCAUCAAGACCAGAGUGGACAGGGCUUUGAAAAAUGUGGUCUGGUGAGAGGUGUCCCUGCCCAUGGCAGAGGGGUUGGAACUUGAUGAUCUUUAAGGUCCCUUCCAACCCAAACCAUUCUAUGAUCAUCAGUGUGGCCCCAGUCACAUUUACAUGACAUUUAUGAGA